CCCCUCUCAGGACUGCAUCUGGAUAGUUUCCAGUAGUCUACCAGUCUUGGCUACAGGAGGGAGAGUCAAGCAGAGGCCUACCCAUUCCAUUCCUAGCUUAGCCAGUGUAUAGUGAGUGGAAGACAAUCUGCUAUAAGU